AUGUCGGCCAGCACUUCCGCGGGGCGGGUCCGGGGGCGGGGCUCCGGGGACGUCCGGCAGGGAACGCCCUCCUCCCGCGCGAGGCUCGGGGCUGGGGCGUGGCGCGCGCGCGUUGCCUCGGUGACCGCGGGGUCCCGCGAGGUGCGGGCGGAGCUGGGGCUGCCGCGGCGGCGAGGCGCGCGCGCUCUCUGCUGUGGCCUGGGAAAGCAGCAGAAGAUGGCUCAAGUCCUUGGGCCCCUGCACCCAUGUGGGAGACAUGGAAGAAGCUCCUGGCUCCUGGCCUCGGAUUGGCCCAGCUCCUGCCAGUGUGGCCAUCUGGGGAGUGAACCAGUGGAUGGAAGACCCCUCUCUCUCUGCCUCCGCCCCCGCCUCUGCCUCUGUAAUUCUGCCUUUCAAAUAAAUAAAUCUAAAAUAAAUAAAUAAAGCCAUAAACACACUC